rnacentral:rRNA from 1 species
GGGAGUUGCUCCUAGUACGAGAGGACCGGAGUGAACGAACCUCUGGUGUUCGGGUUGUCACGCCAGUGGCACUGCCCGGUAGCUAAGUUCGGAAUCGAUAACCGCUGAAAGCAUCUAAGCGGGAAGCGAGCCCUGAGAUGAGUCAUCCCUGACCCCUUGAGGGUCCUAAAGGGCCGUUGGAGACCACAACGUUGAUAGGUGGGGUGUGUAAGCGUAGCGAUACGUUGAGCUAACCCAUACUAAUUACCCGUGAGGCUUAACCAU